AGCGGACGCUGGCGGCAGGCUUAACACAUGCAAGUCGAGCGGGCAUCCUUGUGGUGUCCGCGGCAGACGGGUGAGUAACGCGUGGGAACGUGCCCUUCGGUUCGGAGUAACUCAGGGAAACUUGAGCUAAUACCGGAUACGUGCGAGAGCAGAAAGGUUUAUCUGCCGAAGGAUCGGCCCGCGUCUGAUUAGCUAGUUGGUGAGGUUAUGGCUCACCAAGGCGACGAUCAGUAGCUGGUCUGAGAGGAUGAUCAGCCACACUGGGACUGAGACACGGCCCAGACUCCUACGGGAGGCAGCAGUGGGGAAUAUUGGACAAUGGGGGCAACCCUGAUCCAGCCAUGCCGCGUGAGUGAUGACGGCCUUAGGGUUGUAAAGCUCUUUUCUCCGGGACGAUAAUGACGGUACCGGAGGAAUAAGCCCCGGCUAACUUCGUG
rnacentral:rRNA from 1 species